UGGCAGGGUGAACCCCUGGGCGUAUGCGGAAAGCAGCCCUCUGGCCAGAGUUACUUUGCAAGCCUUGGACAAGUCAUGUGACCCCUCUGGGUCACACAGCUGGGAGCUUGCACCCCACAGCUCAGCUAUGAUUUGAGACGAACACUCUUAUGUUCCAGCUUGAGGCGAGGAAAGGAAAACCGUGGACCAGGAUCUCGACUCAGUCGGGGUCGAUGCUACCAGAAGUGUGGGCUUCAGUUGUCACCAUUGCGAGUCUUUGCAGGAGGAAGUAAACAAAACCUCUGGCUCUCUCGUGAAGUCCUUCUCCUCUCUUGUGCCCCGUGCCGAAAUAACCUACCGCAGGCCAACAUUCUGGCUAAGCAUCAGGACCCCGCCAACCACAGCUUCUGCCUCUUAUUUCCUGAGUGGUCCCCACACCUGGCAUGAUCAGAGUCCAGAGAAGUCAGGGACUUUUCCCACUGCCAUCACCUGCCUAUCCAUCUGGAUUUAGCCCCAUCUGCAAAGACUAUUAGGAGGGAGCCCCAAAUUGCCCUCCUGCACCACUCACUCUUACCAGAACAGCAACCACGGUGCCCUGAGCAUCCCCUGUAUCAAAUACUCCUGAAUUCCGAAGGCUGAGGUCAGCAUCCAGAAGACCCACAACCAGAGGAGAUGCUGUUGCUAGGAUGCGGGAAUGUUUAUUAGGCUCUCAGCCUUAAUUAGGUGCUGGCCCACCCAGGAACCCUUUUGUCAAGACUCCAAGGAGUGCUGUCCGGAAGACAUUUGCAGCCAGGACCGCAGACUAAGAAGUUUGUGUUCACACUGCUGAGCAAGACUCAGGACCACGGGGUAGGGAAUGGCCAACUCAUGAGGAGGCAGACUCGCCGUGGAUUCCAACAGAUGGCCGUCAGUGGCUUGGCAAGGGGACUUUCUCCAGAGAUGUUUUACAUGAUGGUUCCUACAGAUUCCUACAAUUCUCAGGUAGAGUUGAUGUAGCCUGCAGAUAUUGACACUGCUUCAGAGGUUGGGACAGAUCCUGCCCGGGUUUUAAAGCAAUGAAUAAACUUGGAAA